rnacentral:misc_RNA from 1 species
GGAAGGAUCAUUAACAAAUCAUCUCUUCUACAAUACCUGUGUGAACGUUUGCUUGUUUGCGCUGCCUGUCGCGCUUGCUUUACCGCUUGUCGACGACGGCGCAACAACACCUCUACACGAUUGAUUGUCAGAUAUGAUGUCUCUGUGUGUAUGCACGAGACAAUAAUCUUAACAGAUAACAACUUUUAACAAUGGAUCUCUUGGCUCUUGCAACGAUGAAGAACGCAGCGAAAUGCGAAAUGUCGUGUGACCUGCAUGCUUCGUGAGACACUAAAUCUUUGAACGCAACUUGCACCUAGUAGCCCUGCUCCUAGGUAUACUUGUUUGAGUAUCACAUCAUCCACCUCGAGUGGUUUUUUCCACUCGGACCUGGGAUGUCUGGGAUAACUGGCCGUCGCUGCUGACAAAGCAUGCGUGCGCGCCACUACACCAGUCUCCUUAAAGGUAGGCCGGCUACGGCUCGCAGCAGAUGGAGUAAUGUUGGAGGUGCGGGUCAUCGUGUAAAAGCGCAUGCUCUCCCCUCAACAUCAUCCGCUGUCGGUGCAUAACUAGCUGGCAAGCCGAUGCUUGAUGCGCUCAUUUUUGGGCGUGUCGACAUCACAAGCGCGUGUGUGCUCUCCGGAGACCACCGCGCUUACAAACCGAUCUCAAAUCAAGUAGGGAUACCCGCUGAACUUAAGCAUAUCAGUAAGCGGAGGAAAAGAAACUAACAAGGAUUCCCAUAGUAACGGCGAGUGAAGUGGGAAGAGCUCAAAUUUAAAAUCUGGCACCUUUGGUGUCCGAGUUGUAUUUGAUAGGGCGGUUCUUUGGAGGGCGGCGGGGCUCAAGUCCCCUGGAAAGGGGCAUCAUAGAGGGUGACAAUCCCGUCUAGGCUCCGCACGACCCGACAGUACAAGAACUGUCCGACGAGUCGGAUUGUUUGGGAAUGCAGUCCAAAAUGGGUGGUACAUUUCAUCUAAAGCUAAAUAUUGGCAAGAGACCGAUAGCGAACAAGUACCGUGAGGGAAAGAUGAAAAGAACUUUGAAAAGAGAGUUAAACAGUACGUGAAAUUGUUAAAAGGGAAACGAUUGAGACCAGUGAGGCACCGGGCAGUUCAACCGACCGGAUGGUCGGUGUACUCUGCCCCGGGAGCAAGUUGGCCUCCAUUUGGGCGCGCCGGAUAAGACCGUGGGAAAGGUGGCUCUGUCCUUCGGGACAGUGGCUUUAUAGUCCCGCGGGGAUACGGUGCCCUGGAUGGGUCGUGAGCGGCUGUAUGUGCGUGUAAAAAGCGUGCUUGGCCGGCUCGGGCUGACGAAAUGGUCUUAAACGACCCGUCUUGAAACACGGACCAAGGAGUCUAACAACUAUGCGAGUAUUCGAGUGGCAAACUUGGGUGCGCAAAGAAAUUGAGAUGUGGGAGGGCUUCCUUGUAGGAGCCUGCACCAUAGGCGGGUCCUGGUCUUUGACCUUGAUCUAGCUAGAGCAUACGUGUUGGGACCCGAAAGACUUUGAACUAUGCCUGAAUAGGGUGAAGCCAGAGGAAACUCUGGUGGAGGCUCGUAGCGAUUCUAACGUGCAAAUUGAUCGUCAAAUUUGGGUAUAGGGGCGAAAGACUAAUCGAAAAGUCUGGUAGCUGGUUUCCUC